GGCUUCCGAGGCAAUCGGGCAGCAUCAGUCUUCAGCCACUAAGCCGAGAAGAUCUGGGAAGGAAUCAGUCGGAGAGCCUUGGGCCAGAGUUCCAGGGGCUCUGGGAGUGGCUGCCAGGUAGGAGGUGGGCUGAUAGCACAAGCAUUGGAGACCAGAAUCAAGAGCUACCAUACAGUUGGGAAAACUGGCUAGCCAUAUGCAGAAAACUGAAACUGGACCCCUUCCUUACAUCUUAUACAAAAAUUAACUCAAGAUGGAUUAAAGACUUAAACAUAAGACCUAAAACCAUAAAAACCCUAGAAGAAAACCUAGGCAACACCAUUAAGGAAGUAGGCAUGGGCAAAGACUUCAUGACUAAAACACCAAAAGCAAUGGCAACAGAAACCAAAAUUGACAAAUGAGAUCUAAUUAAACUAAAGAGCUUCUGCACAGCAAAAGAAACAUCAUCAGAGUGAGCAGGCAACCUACAGAGUGGGAGAAAAUGUUUGCAAUCUAUCCAUGUGACAAAGGGCUAAUAUCCAGAAUCUACAAAGAACUUAAACAAAUUUGCAAGAAAAAAAAACAACCCCAUAAAAAGUGGGCAAAGCAUAUGAACAGACACUUCUCAAAAGAAGACAUUUAUGUGACCAACAAACAUAUGAAAAAAAGCUCAUCAUCACUGGUCAUUAGAGAAAUGCAAAUAAAAACCACAAUGAGAUACCAUCUCAUGCCAGUUAGAAUGGUGAUCAUUAAAAAGUCAGGAAACAACAGAUGCUGGAGAGGAUGUGGAGAAAUAGGAAUGCUUUUACACUGUUGGUGGGAGUGUAAACUAGCUCAACCAUUGUGGAAGGCAGUGUGGUGAUUCCUCAAGGAUCUAGAACCAGAAAUACUAUUUGACCCAGCAAUCCCAUUACUGGGUAUAUACCCAAAGGAUUAUAAAACAUUCUACUAUAAAGACACAUGCACACGUAUGUUUAUUGCAGCACUGUUCACAAUAGCAAAGGCUUGGAACCAACCCAAAUGCCCAUCAAUGGUAGACUGGAUUAAGAAAAUGUGGCACAUAUACCCCAUGGAAUACUAUGCAGCCAUAAAAAAGGAUGAGUUCAGUCCUUUGCAGGGAGAUGGAUGAAGCUGGAAACUAUCAUUCUCAGCAAACUAACACAAGAACAGAAAACCAAACACUGCAUGUUCUCACUCAUAAGUGGGAGUUGAACAAUGAGAACAGUUGGACACAGGGAGGGCAACAUCAGACACCUGGGCCUGUCAGGGAGUGGGAGGGGGCUAGGGGAGGGAUAGCAUUAGGAGAAAUACCUAAUGUAGAUGAUGAGUUGAUGGGUGCAGCAAACCACCAUGGCACAUGUAUACAUAUGUAACAAACCUGCACAUCUGUACAUGUAUCCCAGAACUUAAAGUAUAAUAAAAAAUUAAAAAAUAAAGAUGUCAUGGGUGGUGAACAAAAAAACAAACCAAAAAAAGAGCUACUAUACAAUCUCACAGGUAAGACUGGCCUUGUAGUAAGAAAGUUGGUCUCAUGUUGACUUAGUGGAGAAUGCUACCUAGAAUUUUUCUCAUCAUAGUCUGAUUUCUCAUAUAGUUCUGUCUGCUGCAAGAUAAUAUAUUAUUUGAGCUGAUUUGUCUAACAGUUGUAUUUCAGUGUAAAUUAAUUAAUUAAUUGCCAUUCUGGUUUACACAUUACCCCUGUGAUCUUGGUAAGAAGUGUCUGUCUUUAUGGACAGUUUCCCUUCUCAAGAUGCUAACAAUUCAGAGUUCUUAGCCUGCAAAUCCUAUCUGAAUAUCCAUGAAUUCACCUGUGGGGGCACCUUACCAGAAGGCCAAAGAGCAGUAUCUCAGUGACAUCCUCACCUCACCUUAUAACUUCUAUUUGACCUUUGAUAUGUAGUAGAUGUGAGUAAGGAUUAAACAGAAAUUAGAAAUGUGUCCCAAACAGUCAGAGUCCAUAUAUCAUCCAGAGUGGGCCUCAGAAUUCCAAAAAUUUUCCUCUGAAUGUCUUCCUCUUGCUUUUUCCACUCUUUGUCCUUUUGUAGGUAUAACUCCCCAGGGGGCUGUAAACUGUGUCUGUCUCAUAUAUUGCUGUAUCCUGAGUGCUGAGCCUGGUGAUUACACAUCAAUAGUAGCUCAGUAGAUAUUGGUAGAAUAAAUGAAGGAAGGAAGGAAGGAAGGAAGGAAGGAAGGAAACCCUGACAUUUUCCAUUCUGCCUUUUCUUCUACUCCCCCUCUACCUAGGCAGAAGUAAUUUAAAAAUCCCAGUUUUCCUAGAUUAUAGAUGCAAAUUUCUCCCACAUAUUUGUGAUAUGUCUUACUAUUGAUGGGUGUUGAAAUGCCAAACAAUCCAGUUAUUUCCAUUGUGCUACUGGGACUUGUUCUGCAGGAGCAUAGCAAUGGCUGCUUUGAUUAUUCCACACCCUUAAGAGAACCCUCUGUUUUCCUCCAAAAAUUUAGUCAGGUGGUUGAAUUACUUGGCUUCCUUGAAGACUUCUCUGUUGUCAGGUUUUCCUUCUGAAAGGAAAAGCUUCAUUAAAAUUAGAUGAAGAGCACACAGCUUCCUGUUGUUAAACUGUCAACCCUGGCAAAAACAGUGGUGAAGGCAAACCAAAGCUUUCAAGAGAGCGUGUUCUUGAAGAGAGCAUGUUCUUGCCGGCUGAACUAAUGAAGUGCAGACCCCCUGCUGAAGUCUCAAGUAGAUUGCCAGUUCACACAAAUGAGCUGAAAAAUACCAUUCAGUUUUAAUUGUGACAUUUCUUUUGCGAGGCAGUUCCUUUCGCUGGGUUUUUGCUUUUUUCUUGUUUUUGUUUUUGAUUUUUUACAAAAAUUCUUGACGAAUAAAAAAUGAAACCAGCAGGAAUGUUCUUUAAAGAGCCCAAGAAAUGGUUUUGAGAAUGCACUGACACUUGAAACAUGGGAGAAAUCAUUAUUUUAAAAUGCCCAAUCCGCUUCCCUCAGUUUUGAACAAAAUCAACGACAAAGCAAAACCAGUUUUCAAGUGUUAUAGUAAUUCGCAAAAUAAAUUGCAAAGAAUGGCAGAGUACCAUCAGGGUUCUUCAAGGGCUCUACAAACAAUCAAUUUGAAUUUAAGUUUCUACAUAGAUUUUAAACUUUUUAAAGAUGGUAAUCUUUAAAUAGUUAAAUGUAACAUGUUUAAAAUAUAACCUCAUCAGAGGACUUCAAUCAAUGUAUUUGCUUGGACUGAUGGGUUCAUAUUUUUCCAAGUAGGAGUAAGUUAUAAUGCUUCUCCUGACCAUUCAGUAUCCUGAGACUCCAAGGCAAGUGGUGAAAUGACCCUAACACUUAUAAGUACUUGUCUGUCUUGAAUGAGGAUUUUCUUUAUGCCAUAUUGCUAAAGGAAAACAUAUAAAUUAAUUGUAAGCUAAAACUGCAAGAAGUCUUUCACUGCCAUUUAUGAGCCUGGAUUUAUAUUUUUGUAUGAAAGAAAAAGGAAUUGUGUUUUCAUUAUUUGGCUUUAUAAGCAAAAUGCCAUAAAUUUGAACCAAUAAAAUGAAUUUAUUCUAAUAA